CUACUACCGAUUGAAUGGCUCAGUGAGGCUUUCGGACCGGCCCAGAGAGAGUGGCAACACUCACCUCNGGGCUGGAAAGUUGUACAAACUUGGUCAUUUAGAGGAAGUAAAAGUCGUAACAAGGUU
rnacentral:rRNA from 1 species